AGCCUGAACGCUGGCGGCGUGGCUAAGACAUGCAAGUCGCACGGAGGUAGCAAUACCUUAGUGGCGAACGGGUGAGUAAUGUAUCGCUAACGUACCCUUUAGUCAGGGAUAGCCGGGGGAAACUCCGGGUAAUACCUGUUGACAUUCUUUUUUCGCAUGGAGAGAGACUCAAAGGAGCAAUCCGCUGAAGGAGCGGGCGAUAUCGUAUCAGCUAGUUGGUGAGGUAACGGCCCACCAAGGCGACGACGGGUA
rnacentral:rRNA from 1 species